GAUGAACGCUGGCGGCGUGCCUAAUACAUGCAAGUCGAGCGAACAGACGAGGAGCUUGCUCCUCUGACGUUAGCGGAGGACGGGAGAGUAACACGUGGAUAACCUACCUAUAAGACUGGGAUAACUUCGGGAAACGGGAGCUAAUACCGGAUAAUAUAUUGAACCGCAUGGUUGAAUAGUGAAAGACGGUUUUGCGGUCACUAAUAGAGGGAUCUGCGCCGCAUUAGCUGGUUGGUAAGGUAACGGCUUACCAAGGCAACGAUGCGUAGCCGAGCUGAGAGGGUGAUCGGCCACACUGGAACUGAGACACGGUCCAGACUCCUACGGGAGGCAGCAGUAGGGAAUCUUCCGCAAUGGGCGAAAGCCUGACGGAGCAACGCCGCGUGAGUGAUGAAGGUCUUCGGAUCGUAAAACUCUGUUAUUAGGGAAGAACAAAUGUGUAAGUAACUAUGCACGUCUUGACGGUACCUAAUCAGAAAGCCACGGCUAACUACGUG
rnacentral:rRNA from 1 species